GGCAGCUCGGCCUCGUUCCGCCCAAACCGCAGGCGGCGCCGCGCCUCGAGCGGGGUUUCCCGUCGUUUCCUGCCCCGGGGAGGGUUUGGCGGGUGUUCCCCUGCCCGCGUGGCGGCUGCCGCGGGGUGACCGGGUGGCCGCAGACUCCCGGCCAUGGUGAGUGGAGCCUCUGCGAGCAGGAGGCCCGCGCGCACCGUAGGCCUGCGGGCCGAGGCGUGGGAGGGACCGCAAGGGACGGUGUGGACAGAGUGGGGCAGCACGGGACAUUAAGAGACGGUGUGGGGCGUCGAGGGACAGAGUCGCACACCGUGGGGCCGAGCGGCACAGCACGGGACAGGGUGGCCACCCUGGUGAGGGCCUUUCAUGAGCCCUCCUAACGCGGGUCUGCCCGGCCACCUCUCCUCCGACCACAUGUUUGAAAGUGAAGGCCAGGCCCUGGUGGCCGUUGACCCGUGGCUUCCAGGAGGAGCACCCCCAGCCCCAACCGGGCCUCGCCUUCCGUCUCCGAUCUCGAGUUUACUUAUUAGACCCACGCUGCUCUCCACAUCUCCGGGCAUCCGGGUAGCCGGCGAUGCCCAAGGACAAAACACCAGCUAGCCUGCAGGAGGAGGCUUCUCCCCUGGAAGGUGAUGCAACUUAGGCUUAUAGUUUAACCGAAAAAUAAAUAAUACAAAUGAUAACAAACCAAGAGUAACUAAAGUAAGAAAAAAAGCAAACAGACAGAAACCCUCCAGUUUUAACCGGAACAGUCCCCUGAAUGGUACUCUCUCUUUAAGUAGAGGCCACAGACCUCCGGCUGACCUCCUUCGCCUUGGAGAGCCCCUUCUUGGUUUCAGCAGUUGUGCCCGAGAGUUCCACAGUUAGCACUACCUAAUUGGGGGAGUUUAACACAUAGAAUGAGAUUCUGACCUCAUUAUCAGGUUAAUUAUUAACUUACGCACUCCAUGAAACGAUUUGCCUUUUCUCCCCUGUUAUUCACUUACAUUCUUUUAAAUCCGAUUCAAAGGCCCAGUUUUGAAUUCAAGGGCUUCACGCACACACACAAGUCCGAAGUAUCCCUUUGCCCUCUCUCAGUUGCAAGACAAACCCAUGUUUAGCAGAGAGCUCUCCUCUCCUUUCUGAUGGGCUUUUUCUGGUCUACGGGGGCUCUGGGGUCAUAGGUCCUGAGUCGGGUCAACCAACUUAUGGUCUUAUUGCCAUUGAUUUAGUUAUUAUUUUAGGAUGAUGGGAAUCGGUUACAACUACUCUCUGGCUUUCUUCACCAAAUUAGGCUCUUUGCUGUGCGGAAACUCCAGAUCGUUCUCCCCCAUUUUGGUGUCAUUUAUGUUGAAGACUUAGCCAUAUGCUGUUAUCAGUGUAUAAAAAGAACUAGCCUGAGAACUUGCCAGAGAACAUCUUUUCAGGCCUCACAGUGCAGAGCGUUUACUGAAUGGGGACCUAGAUGAACUCAAGUUUCAUCCGAAAGGAACCCUCGUUACGCUAAUUCAAGCCACUACAAUACAGUUGUAAUUUGUGCUUUGGCCUUAUUGGCAUGCUUUUCCAUUCCCCUAUUCAUUAACAGCAAUCAUUGCCAGAGCAACCAUCAAACACACCCCUUCUUUAGAGAAAGAAGAUCCACGGGAUACUCGCUCUACGGUUGUCAACCGUAUGGUGUCCCGUUUUGGGAAGCUGUCAAAAGUCGUAAAAUCACUGACUUCAUCUUGAGGUUCUUCGGUGGCAUGAUGGCUGCCUGCAGCUCUGAGCUCUAACUCCAGAAGUUGGACGUCUAGAAGGCAUCUGUAUUCAUUUCCCAGGGCUGCCAUCAAAUGUACCGUAAGCCGGAAGGCUUAACACGAGAGAAGUCUGUUGUCACACAGCUUUGGAGGCCUCAAGUCCAGAAUCGAGGGUCAGCAGGGCCACGCUCCUUCCGAGAUCCUAGGAAGAAUCCUUCCUGAAGCCCCCGAUGGUGGCAUUCCUUGACAUCCUCAGUGCUCCUCGAUGUGGAGCCGCAUCUCUGCAAUCUCUGCUUCAUCUUCAGACGACCUCCUGGCAGAGACGUUAGUCAUAUUGGACUCUGGGCCCACCUUGCUGCGGUAUGAUCUCGUUGUAAGGAAUUACACCUAACUCUGAUUUCGUUUGAAUGGGCAGAGUAUCCAUUUUUGUACUUCCCUUGCAACAAGGGAUGGCCACUGGACAUCGCACUGACUACUCACGUGGUGGAAGUGGACCGGAUGGUGCCGGCUGAGUUUCGCUUUCCUGGAGUAGAUUCCGCCUCUUCGUCCUCAGUCUUCUUUCCACUUCCUCCUUGAUAGGGGUGUCCAUGGAGUGAUACGAAGACCGAAGUCACAAAGGCAUUGACGAUAUCUGGGACCUGGUGCCCCUGCCCUUGGGUUUCUCUCCCCUGACCUCUUAUGAGGUGCUAACAAUGAGCCCCUAUUUGAUGAAGCCACAGAAGAGGGGUUUCUAUAUCACGCAGUUGGGUGCAGUUCCUAGUUAGUACAAGCUUACUUGAGGAAAUGGCAUGUGAACUGGGCUUUGAAGGAUGUGAGUAGCAACUAACUGAGUCCCCACGUGCUCUGCGUAGACCUAGGGCUUUUGAACGCCGGGGUCUCAUCAUCUGAGUUGAAGGGUAUCGGAGCACAAUUUCUUAAAUCCCUCUACAGUCGGACUUGACGAUGAACCUGCCGGAGGAGAAAAGGCUAAAAGCAGCAGCUGGCCCUUGCCGUGAGCGAGGCACUGUUCUAAGGGGUUUACACCCGUGACCUCUUUCAGUUCUUACGACAACCCUUUGAGAGAGAUGCCAUUGUUGCCCCCUCUUAGUUGAGGAAGCCAAAGCGAAGACAGAUCAAGCCAGUGGCUCAAGAUUGCAUAGCUACUAAACGGAAGAGCCAGGAUUUGAAGCCCCGUAGUGUGGCUUGAGAGCCUGAGCUCAUUAACUCGUGACGAGUGGGCUCGACCCCAACUUUGGACUCAUUCCUGUCUCCUUCCCUUUGAUGCCUAAGAGGCCUCCUGAGAUGUGGUGCCCAAACAGGAGACGUUGACUGUUCUUACCGAGGAGUGCACUUCUGGAUUCUGUUCCCCGCUAGCUGAUAAGCCAGUUAGGCGAUGGUUUUGGAGUACCUUCAUGUCGGUCCUCUCCUUUUUGUCAUUUCUGGGAACCCUACCGAACCAACUGUUCCCUCAAGUCAUGAGACAGAGAAGUUCUUGAUAGUCUUUUUUUAGACCCUGACCCAAAGUCUAUCAAUUUGUUCCAAGUUGCGAUAAAAAUAUUUAUCGCGAGUACACGCAGGUUGUUUUAUUUUUUCCCUAGCUUCUGGACCGUUGCUUUGUCUGUCUUUUAUCGCCGCUUCUGGGAUGCCCCUGGAAACACGGAAGCUUCCCCCAUUAGGUCCAGCUCAGGGUGCGACUCAGAAAGCAGUCCGUGGAUUACUAGUUCAAAACCAGUUCGAAAACUGUUACUGGUCUGCGACAAGAUGAGUAGGGAAAUGAAGAGGCUUGGGCAAUUUGGCAUGGCCACAAUGUCCAAGGAUGUGGUCCCUGAGCUAGUCUUGUUGAUGGGGCACGGGCCACUCCGGGUGCUGGCGCACUCACCCAAUGAGCUGGUUGUCACGGGAGCUGUGUUACAGGCAUGGGCAACAGGACCACUUGGUUCACGAUGGAUUGGAAAUGAGAACAAAAGUGCUUCUUCACGACACAUAGUUUGAGAAUCCCACCUGUGACUCGCGGUGGCAGUUCAGCGUGUGUCAUGUAAUCUGGCCCUCGACCUUAUUUUGACGAUGGGGCACAAUCUUCCUCGGCCCAGGCCGUCCAGCAAAUUACAAUUCCAGAUUCACCUUUGCACCUCUUGGGAGAAGACAGACAGAGCCUUCUUUUUGGGGUCUAAUUAGGCCGCGGUUUAGCCUCGUGGCCCUGGAGGUCGGGACAUGCAGCUUUAGCAGAGACGUGCAUCCAGUCUCUGGGGACAGCAGGGUUGUUACAUGUCUCCGUGGUGUAUCAUAUGCAAACUGUGUCUAGGAUGGGCUUUUCAGAUGCCGCUUUCUGGCUCCUGGGGGAGAAUUGUUUUCUAAUGUUUUUAGUAGUUUCCAAAGGCUUUUAUUCCCUAAUUGAAAUGUAUAAUUACCUGCUCCUAAUUAAGUCCCGUCUCUGAAAACUGCGUCAACAACUUGCUGUCCGGAGUUAAGGUUGAACUGCAGUUUAUACCAGACAAGGGCACAUUUACUGAGGACCAAGAGAUACUCAGCCUGGUUGUCUAAUUAUCCCCCCGAACACAGAUUUAUAAUUGUAUUCCGUUAGAUGUAUUUUAGAAAACUGAACUGACUGCCUUAGGGAUGAAGCAGGUAAAAUGGAGAUUUUUAUGGUAGUUUAAUUUUUUUUUUUAACGUUUUAUUUUAUUUUUGAGACAGAGAGAGACAGAGCAUGAACGGGGGAGGGUCAGAG